rnacentral:lncRNA from 1 species
UUUAGAUUUGGAUGAGACUUUUUUGUUGUACCGUCUUUUAGACGGAAUUUAAUUUUCGGUUCACCAAUUGGACAUAUCCGGUUAUAAAUGUACAUUUGGGGAUAAUAAUGUUAGUCUCUUUCAGAAUUCAAAUCUUCUUGGUACUGGUGUUUUAUCAACAUUUGAUAGCUUAUAUUUGGUUGAUACAAUAACUUCAAAUAAAGAAACUUUGCAUACAAGUUUAANNNNN